CUCCUUCAUCCAGAAGAGGAAAGUAGAGACAGGAUAGUACAGGAUAGGUCCAAAGCUGGCUUCAGGCAAAAGGCCAGUUCCAGAGAAGAAGGGUUUGAAACAAGACCAAAGCCUGUGGUUGUUGAAUCAACUGUUACUUGUUUUACAAAUUUGUCUGAGGGAUUGCCAGAAGCAAGUGUCCUCUGGUCACCUGUUCCUUUGUGCAGUGUGGCUUCUGAGCGAGAUUUCUCUGAGUUGGAGUUGGGACCAUUCUCACAUUCCACCACAUGGCUCACUCGGGUGGAUUUCAUGAUCCAACACUCUAUGUUUGGCAAUGGAGAAGUGAUGUCAAGUCUCAGGCACCAGUACAAGAGGAUGGUUUUUGACAUGUGGUCUGUGGUUAGUCCCAGAAUCACAGUGUAAGCAAGAAGAGGCAUGUGACUAACAACCAAUGCCACCAUUUCUGAGAGCAAAUCCUCCAGAGUUCAUCUCAUCUAGAUCAUUCCACUGAAUCCUGUCACCACUCCGGUGAUUGAGAGGAACCAGCAGGAGUGAGAGGAAGGGGAAGAGGAAGAUCAAUACACAAGUACAGCAGAGUCCUGGAAAACCGUGGUCCCAGAUGUGACUCCUGGAGUUUCUGCAGCCAUCUUGCUGUCACCCUAGGAAUGAAACCAACCCAGAAGAUAGCAGAGAGAAGUGAAAGAAAUUGCAUCCUUGAUGAUAUGGCUGAGCCAGUGAAUCAACCAACCCUGAAAAUACCCUACUUCUGAGCCUUUUCAUAUGCAAAAUAAUACAUUUCCUUGUUGCCUAGUUCCAUUUGAGACGAUACUUUCCACUGCUUGCAGCUGAGUCCCUAAAAGAUACAUAUGCACAAAUUUAGAAAAUAAUUGAUGAUUACACAAGUUAUUAAUUGCUCCCUCUUUCCCCCUUUGCCUUAUUUUGUUCACUUCCCGUGGGUACAUUUGGGGAAGGGAGUUUGCAGGGGCUCUUAUUACACUCACUUCUCUAAUGGGUCUAUACUUCAGCUUGUUUCUCUGCUGCCACUUGACUUGGACUCACUCCUAGUUCUGGCCCAAGUUUCUAAGUCCUUUCCCUGCUGGUCACUGCUUGGAAAGCCCCAGCCAUAAAUGUCCUCUCCCUUCACUCCUCCAAAGCAGCAGUGCUAAUUUCUGAGUAUCAAACUUUUAUUGAAGUUUUGGGGUUAACAGAGAGCAACAUAUGCAAAAACAACUUCACGCUGAAUGUCAGCCAUUCCUAUCCCAAGGAAUUCAUUGCUCAUUCCGUCCACAUGGAAUUUACCACCGACUACAUUCCUUCAGGGACCCUAACUUCCCACCAUGUUACUGAGCCUCUCUCUCUCUCUUUCUCUCUCUACUGUACCUACCUUCUUCUUUCCCAGGUACUUUUGCCAUAUCAAGGUUCUAGUGGACCACUCCAAACCUCCUGUUAUUUUACUCCAUAGAAAAGUUACCUGGUGUUUGUUUAAACUUCUAUUCCAGUGAUGCCCAUAUACCUUCAACACCAAACAAGCUUGUGAAGGCAUUUUCCUAAACAAAAGAAUAAUUUUGCCUCUGAAAGAGGAACUCUGACUUCCUCUUAGGUCAAUCUGCUCAAAUUCAGCCAGCUCUUAAAAUAUCAUUGGUUUUCUUGUUACUAAUACUAAAAAUGGGAAUAACGAUACCUAUCUUAUAGCAUUUGCUAGAAAGCUUUAUCAUUAAGGUUAGCAAAAAUAUUUAUCUGUGUGCCUCAUUUUUCUCAUCUGUAAAAUGAAGAUGAAUAAUAAUACCUACAUUAUAGCUCAUAAAGUUUUUGUGAUGAUUAGAGGAAUUAAUAUAAGCAAAGAGCUUUGAACAGUGCCCGGUGUAUAGUAAGUAUUCAACAAAUGUUAACAGCUGCUGCUGCUGCUGCUGUUAAUCAAACAUCUUUGAUCUAAAAAGGUUGUUUGGACAUGCUGGGAUGGGGAGAUAAGAGCACCUAGAGCACAUGAUUACGGUGAGGACUGAAUGAUACAUACGACCUAAAAGAGUACCUGACAUAUUGGUGACAAGUGAAGGCAGGCUGUUAAUGCUGGGGAUUAGUAAUAGUGUAAUAGUGUAUGUAAAGUCCUGAACAAGGUAGAAGAUCAAUAGUAUGAGAUACUAUCAUUUUGCUUCUCAGGGAAGUUAUGGACGAUGUUAGAGACUGAGGCAGGAUUAGGGCAGCUGGUGAUUUUUAAAAUCCUGGCAAGAGGCCUCAUUCUGAUUCCUAUAUUAUGUGUUAUUGUUGUCACUCUUAUUAGUAUUAUCAGCAGAAAUAGCAGUAAUGUGGUGUGAUGGCUGAGCAGCAGUUUAUGCCAGGUAUUGUUACAUAUUCUAUGGGUGAAUAGAGAUAGAUGUAGCCCAGAUCUUGCUUAUAAGGUGCAUGCAGGAAGAAAGGCCCAGGGUUCAUUGCCCACUCCCAGUCUUUACCCUAUCUUGCUUGCCAAUGGGGACUAAGCCAGCCUUUAGGAGAGUUUGCUUGAAGUCAGCUUUCAUUCAAGCAAUUGGCACCCUACCAACAAUGAGGGUCAGCAGGAGGUUGACAGCAUGAAGCCCCAUAAGCAGGAUGGCUUCCCCAUGCUACAGGGGUGAUAAGGAAACAGAAAACCAGCCUUUUGUUCUGUUCCUUUCCCAGUUUUUCCUAGACCCAAAUGAGCCAGCAAGCCCCAACAGCCACCCCAGGAGUUUAGAAUGAACAGGGAAAUAAGAAAACUAGAAAACAGCUGAGCCUUGAGCCCAGACACCAGACAUUACCAAAGACAUGGGGUCAAGGUGACUGGAGGUAUUAGAAUCCCUCAGGAGCAGUAACAGGAUGUCAGGGAACCAGAGAGAGAUGCUCUCUGUCCUUCCUGUGGAAGUGCUGAGAGAAUUAGAGAAUAUUUAUGGCAUUUCCAUGGAUAUUUACAAAUUCAUCCUACACAGAUUAAGCAGGCAACAGCAGCAGGUGCACACAGGUGAGAGUCUAAGCAGUAGGGUAGAUUGGUUGGGGGGCCAACCACAGGCCACCUGUCUUAUUUGGUGAGGCAGAGCCAAGCCGGGCCCCAGACCCACCGUGUGAGUAUCAGGGUGUCUGGGUAGCACACAGUGUACCCAGUGGACACUGGCCAGGGGAGGCCUCUCUGAACAUGAGGCUGGGAUGAUUCGGCCUCCAAAUAGCAGAAAAUAAAACAUCAGGAACUUGGGUCAACUAAACACUGAAAAUUGGAGAAGAUCUCUUGAGCUACCUGCCCAGAAUCUCAAAAGCUCCUCUCUUAGAAACAAAGACCUUAUGGAAAUAGUUUGUCUCAGGAGUUUCUCAGUCAUUUUGCCAGAAAUAGACACAGGAGGAAAGGGAGAGAAAAACCUGAUGCAAGGAAACCAGCUACUCAACCGACUGACCAUUUUGCUUUAAUAGAAGCCUCUUAAGAAGGAAACUAAUUAAAUGCACCUGCACUAAAAUGAUUACAUGGCUAUUAUCUGCCCACUCAGAGAAAGAGAACCACAAAGUUCAAAACACAGCAAGCAGCAGGCUUAAUUGUCUUUCGUAAGGAAUGGCUUUUGUUUUGCGCAGUGCUCCAUCAAAAACACUAAGUGUUAAUAUACCCUGUAUAAUCUAUCUGGCCAGCUAACUAGUUUAAUCCAUCACACACCGUGUGAAAGUAUACAAGCAGGUUGGUAAUGACAAGUUAAUAGUAGAGGCAGGAAAUAAAAUGGAGAAACACACUUUGAUUGAUGGUGCAGAACUAUUAGGUGCUACUAUGGAUGGACUCUGUCUGGUUUUAUAUAGUGGCCAGUCAAAGCAAAAUAGAUCUAGUAAUUUAAAACUUUAAACAUAUCCCCUCAAUUAAAAAUUUAAAAGGCCAGUGGUUGUAUUGCAUUCCUUUUGAACAAUAAAAGUUCAAUUACAGCCAACUCUCAAAUAUCUACAAGUGGAUCUACCAUAACAAAUCUCAAUCUCUGCUCCUCAUUGCCCUGAUUAUCUGCUCUGCCAGCCCAACCCCCUUAGUUACCAAAAUCUCUACUUUGCCUCUAUGUACAAUCUUAUACCAAGCGCAACUGCAUGAAAGAGAUGGAGCAUUUAAAACCAAACAUUCGGUUACCUUCUUUGUCUGCAGAGACUAUGGGAGAAUAAGAUAUACCAAUCUUAGAAGAUCAGAGGGAUCUACUUAGGCUGAUGACUUACUGAAAUCUGAAAAUAAUGCUAUCCAUGUUUAAGACCGUGAGAGAAAAUUAGGAAGUCUCACAGAGGCAAAAUGGGAAACACACAUGGCUCUCCAGCACUUCUUAUUGUUCAAUAUACUGGAGCAUGGUAGAGUCAACUGAACCUCAUAAGCAAAGCUGGUGCCCUCUUGGUCUGUUUGGUAGCUAUAGAGCACAAAUGGCCAAUACUUUAUAAAUAAGUCCUCACAUAUUAGAAUAUGUGGUUGUCUAGGAAUUUAUUCCAGCAAUAGAAUCUUUGUCUUCCUCUCUCUCUCUCUCUCUUUCUCUUUCAUACACACACAUGUGAUGUACAUAAAAGAUGAAUCACUGUAUUACCAUUGCAACAGCAAAAUAAUAGAAACAACCUAAUAUGUCCAUAAAGAGAGGACUGGUUAAAUAAGUACGGUACAACCAGCAAUGAGAUUCUAAUAGGUGUUAAAAAAGGAGAAAGAAAUAACAAAGAUCUCUCUAUACUAAUACGAAAUUAUCUCCGAGUCAUAUUGUCAAGGUUUUUUUUAAAAAAAGCAAAGUGCAGAAGACUGUAUAUACUAUAAUACCAGUUGUAUUAAAAAACUGUGGCUACCCACACACAUACUUCUUAUAUAUGCAUAAAAUAUCUCUCAAAAAACAACAUAAGGACUUCAUAACCUUGGCUGCCUCUAAGGCAGGAAACUGAGUGGAUGGGGACAGGGAUGGAGACACUUAUUUUCAUUAUACACUUUCAAACCUUUUGCAUUUUGAAUGUAUGAAUAUAUUGCCUAUUGAAAAGCAAAGAAAUUGCCUCAUUAGACCCCUUAAUCUAUGCUCCCAGCUCUCACAUCCCUUGUUUCCCAUCAAUUUAGUCACUCUAGUUUCUCUAUGUGUGCAGGCACACUAUGAUCCACAGGUUGUUCUUCUCUAAUCUUCGUUUCUGUCUUGUCUAUCUGCGUCAGGAAUCACUUCUCAUUAAAGAGAUAUCUCCGUUAAUAUUUUUCUGUGCCUCUCGGUUCCAACCUGACAGUUUAAUAUCAAAUCAUCUAGCAAUGGUUUUAAUUACGUCCACCUGAAGGUCCAGAAAUAACUCAGCAGAGCCUCAG
rnacentral:lncRNA from 1 species